AUGAAACCUCUUCCAGGACCGUAAUAGUAGAAGACCAGCGUGUCCAAUCACCAGAACCUGAGGCCAAAAAGUGAGUGAUUUUUACAAACUAGAUAUUUAAAUGAAAGUGACAGUUAAUAUUUUUAACUAUGCAUAUUAACUCGCUCUUUCCGUCAUCUGCCUCUGCCCAAGGGGGUUUGUGUACGUGAAGGAGUAUGUCAAUGCAACAGAGCUGUCCUUGCAUAAUGUCAGAGACAAUACCGAUGGUGGGUCAGAUUAUUUGACAUCAAGCUCCACCAGUUACUCUUACAGCAGCCCCUCCACCUACUCCAGUGGCUCGUUGUCAUCCGUCUGCAACUUCUGCGAAGAACAGGUGGGAGGUGAUGCCAAGAUCACCAUCGAGCACCUCAAUAUCAACUGCCACCCCAACUGCUUCAAGGUAGUUCAUCAGUCUGCUCAGAUACAUUUCGGUAUUUAUUGGACUAUAAAAAGUAAUUGAAGUGACUGAGCUUAGUUAAGCGUAAACACUGUAAU
rnacentral:lncRNA from 1 species